AGUUGACCAGUUAAGACUAUGGUACAUACAAAUACAACAUAGCCAAGUAUGAAGUUCAUUAUAUGGAACAGAGUUCCUGUCUUUUCAGAACAUAUAGAUGCUUCAACACAUUCUAACCUAGCAUUACAACAGCAAGUGGGGAGCAGCACUCUUCCCCCAAAAUUGCUCCAAAUGCAAUAUGCUUGUAUCUGUCUCAAUAUGUUUUUUGUAUAGUAUUAUUAAUAUAGCUAUGACACUGACCGUGAAAAUCCGAGUUCUAUGACAUACUUAUCAAUUCAAUAGCUCUCCUUGUCAAAAUAAUUUUGCUUUCUUCAAUAAUUUAAACAUUAGACUUCCUGCUUCAUGUCUCAGAAUACUCCCCCAUCAAAACUGUUCUCAUCCUACACAUAGCUUUGAGUAAAACCAAAAACUUUUUAUCUUCGGCGCUUUGAUUCCUUGCGCAUCUCAGCCACAUAGCUUUCAAAGUUGGACUUCUCCCAAAGCCGUCUUUCAAUAAGAUCUUCCUUGGUUGAUUCGUCAAUAGAUAUCCAUGAAUCAAGAGAAGCCCGAAGAGACCUUCGUGUCAAAUAGGAGGCAUCUUCCCAUGAAUAUGGAGCAUGCUUGACAUUGUACCUCCAGAACCAACAUCCAUACCACAGUAACAGCUUUCCCAGAGUGUAAGGAAGAAGUAUAAAACGGAUUCCAAUUAGUUCCCAAACAGAAGGCUUUUCGGUGCCCUUUAUGUCCAAGUUGAGUUCCUUGCCAAGUUCUUCUUCCACCUUCUUGUCCAUCGGCUUGUUGCCCUUCUUCCUAUUAGUCAUUCCUCCAGUGCGUUGAAGCUCCAAAGCACGUAGCUUGUUUUUAUAAGCUGGUGUUUUCUUGACCAUGUCAAUAGCCUGAUUAUAUCUUGUCCACUGAUUCAGAUACUGAAAUAUUGAGACUAUCAAAAGAAGACCAACGAGGACAGCACGGGUAUCCGUUUUGUGACCAUAGUAAGCAUGGUAAUACCGUGCUGUAUUGUAGAAAAACUCCUCUGGAUGGGCAAGUGCAUAAUCAUACUGCUCCCUUGUGGCUUCGUUUUUCAAAAUCUCAUAAGCAUUUGCAAUUUUCACAAAAAGCUUCUUUGAUUCUGGAUCAGGGUUUUUAUCUGGAUGAUGUUUUAGAGAGAGCUUGUAAUAAGCUUUCUUGAUUUCAGAAGAAUUGGCAUUUUGAGUGACCCCAAGGAGAUCGUAACAGUCAUCUUCGUCACAGUAUAUGGAGAAAGAAGGCUGAACAAGAAGGGAGAGCACGAUAGUAACUGUGAGCGCGAACCAGUGGAUCG
rnacentral:misc_RNA from 1 species